CUUUUGCUACAGGAACAGCACAUGGCAAGCAGUCUCCAAAAUGGCAGCUGUGAGUAGGUGGAUGGCCACAAGGCUGAGAAACCGAGCAUGGUAGCUGACACGAAGGAAGAGGUGUGCCACAAGGUAGCGGAGGAGGGAUUGAUGUUCUCCCACAAGCACAAGUCAAAUCGGUGAAAAUUGUCUCAAGGCAGGGAGGGCAGUGACCACUGUGACAAAGCGACUCGCAAGAAUGCUGCCCACAUCUAAGCUUCUUCUCACACGGCAUUGAACAAAAAUGAGGAUUCCAACCACCAGUUAUGGAAUUUUUUGGAUUAGAAAGAGGGCAACAUCGCUCACUACAACGGUGCCUUCCACAGUUCUUCUUUUGCCCACAAGGUCUAUCACAAGUGAACUGCUCAUCUUCUGCCUGCGUUUUGUAGCACUCCACUGUUCGAGAGGUUGACCCACAGCGGCAGCGUUGAGUCACAGGAACAAGACAUGGUGCACAGUCACCAGAAUGGCACACAGCUUCACAGCGAUGUACCCCACAACGGAGACGCUUUCCGCAGACCUUGGAACAGGUUGGAAUUGG
rnacentral:misc_RNA from 1 species